GGCCUACGGGAGGCAGCAGUGAGGAAUAUUGGUCAAUGGGCGGGAGCCUGAACCAGCCAAGCCGCGUGAGGGAAGAAGGUACAGCGUAUCGUAAACCUCUUUUGUCAGGGAACAAAGGCGGGGACUAGUCCCCGGAUGAGGGUACCUGAAGAAAAAGCAUCGGCUAACUCCGUGCCAGCAGCCGCGGUAAUACGGAGGAUCCGAGCGUUAUCCGGAUUCAUUGGGUUUAAAGGGUGCGUAGGUUGUUUUAUAAGUUAGCGGUGAAAUACCGAUGCUCAACAUCGGGGCUGCCGCUAAUACUGUAG
rnacentral:rRNA from 1 species